CAGGUUUACCUGUGUGACUGCGUACCUUUUGUAUAAUGGGUCAGCGACUUAUAUUCUGUAGCAAGGUUAACCGAAUAGGGGAGCCGCAGGGAAACCGAGUCUUAAUUGGGCGUUAAGUUGCAGGGUAUAGACCCGAAACCCGGUGAUCUAGCCAUGGGCAGGUUGAAGGUUGGGUAACACUAACUGGAGGACCGAACCGACUAAUGUUGAAAAAUUAGCGGAUGACCUGUGGCUGGGGGUGAAAGGCCAAUCAAACCGGGAGAUAGCUGGUUCUCCCCGAAAGCUAUUUAGGUAGCGCCUCGUGAAUUCAUCUCCGGGGGUAGAGCACUGUUUCGGCUAGGGGGCCAUCCCGGCUUACCAACCCGAUGCAAACUGCGAAUACCGGAGAAUGUUAUCACGGGAGACACACGGCGGGUGCUAACGUCCGUCGUGAAGAGGGAAACAACCCAGACCGCCAGCUAAGGUCCCAAAGUCAUGGUUAAGUGGGAAACGAUGUGGGAAGGCCCAGACAGCCAGGAUGUUGGCUUAGAAGCAGCCAUCAUUUAAAGAAAGCGUAAUAGCUCACUGGUCGAGUCGGCCUGCGCGGAAGAUGUAACGGGGCUAAACCAUGCACCGAAGCUGCGGCAGCGACGCUGAUGCGUUGUUGGGUAGGGGAGCGUUCUGUAAGCCUGUGAAGGUGUGUCGUGAGGC
rnacentral:rRNA from 1 species